UUUUCCGGUUGAUCCUGCCGGAGGCCAUUGCUAUCGGAGUUCGAUUUAGCCAUGCUAGUCGCACGGGUUUAGACCCGUGGCGAAAAGCUCAGUAACACGUGGCCAAACUACCCUAUGGAUCGGAAUACCCUCGGGAAACUGAGGUCAAUUCCGAAUACCGCUCCUGCACUGGGAUGUGCGGAGCAAGAAAUGCUUCGGCGCUGACGGGACAUUGUCCCGUUGUGCCACGAGACGCUUCGCGUCUCGUCCGCGCCAUAGGAUGUGGCUGCGGCCGAUUAGGUUGACGGUGGGGUAACGGCCCACCGUGCCCAUAAUCGGUACGGGUUGUGAGAGCAAGAGCCCGGAGACGGUAUCUGAGACAAGAUACCGGGCCCUACGGGGCGCAGCAGGCGCGAAACCUUUACACUGCACGACAGUGCGAUAAGGGAACUCCGAGUGCGGAGGCAUAGAGCCUUCGCUUUUGUACACCGUAAGGUGGUGCACGAAUAAGGGCUGGGCAAGACCGGUGCCAGCCGCCGCGGUAAUACCGGCAGCCCAAGUGAUGGCCGAUAUUAUUGGGCCUAAAGCGUCCGUAGCUGGCCGGACAAGUCCGUUGGGAAAUCCGCGCGCUCAACGCGCGGGCGUCCAGCGGAAACUGUCCGGCUUGGGGCCGGAAGACCUGAGGGGUACGUCCGGGGUAGGAGUGAAAUCCUGUAAUCUCGGACGGACCGUCUGUGGCGAAAGCGCCUCAGGAAGACGGACCCGACAGUGAGGGACGAAAGCCAGGGUCUCGAACCGGAUUAGAUACCCGGGUAGUCCUGGCUGUAAACGAUGUCCGCUAGGUGUGACGCAGGCUACGAGCCUGCGCUGUGCCGUAGGGAAGCCGUGAAGCGGACCGCCUGGGAAGUACGUCUGCAAGGAUGAAACUUAAAGGAAUUGGCGGGGGAGCACUACAACCGGAGGAGCCUGCGGUUUAAUUGGACUCAACGCCGGACAUCUCACCAGCUCCGACAGCAGUAAUGACGGUCAGGUUGAUGACCUUACCCGAUGCUGCUGAAAGGAAGUGCAUGGCCGCCGUCAGCUCGUACCGUGAGGCGUCCUGGUAAGUCAGGCAACGAGCGAA
rnacentral:rRNA from 1 species